AGAGUUUGAUCCUGGCUCAGAUUGAACGCUGGCGGCAUGCCUAACACAUGCAAGUCGGACGGAAACGACAGGAGCUUGCUCCUGGGCGUCGAGUGGCGAACGGGUGAGUAACGCGUGGGAAUCUGCCCGGUAGUGGGGGAUAGCCCGGAGAAAUCCGGAUUAAUACCGCAUACGCUCUACGGAGGAAAGGUGGCCUCUACAUGUAAGCUACCGCUAUCGGAUGAGCCCGCGUUGGAUUAGCUAGUUGGUGAGGUAAAGGCUCACCAAGGCGACGAUCCAUAGCUGGUCUGAGAGGAUGAUCAGCCACAUUGGGACUGAGACACGGCCCAGACUCCUACGGGAGGCAGCAGUGGGGAAUAUUGGACAAUGGGCGCAAGCCUGAUCCAGCAAUGCCGCGUGUGUGAAGAAGGCCUGCGGGUUGUAAAGCACUUUUGUGAGGGAAGAAAGGCCUCAGGCGAAUAGCCUGGGAGUCUUGACGGUACCUCAAGAAUAAGCACCGGCUAACUCCGUGCCAGCAGCCGCGGUAAUACGGAGGGUGCGAGCGUUAAUCGGAAUUACUGGGCGUAAAGCGUGCGUAGGCGGCUUGAUAAGUCGGAUGUGAAAGCCCCGGGCUUAACCUGGGAAUUGCAUUCGAUACUGUCAGGCUAGAGUAUGUCA
rnacentral:rRNA from 1 species